rnacentral:snoRNA from 1 species
AUUCUUUGAAUGUUCUUCGAUGGCAGGCCUCGGCCUGCGAUGAGAAGCGCAAUAGAUGAACCCUUUAACUCUGA